CCCAGACUCCUACGGGAGGCAGCAGUAGGGAAUUUUGCGCAAUGGGCGAAAGCCUGACGCAGCAACGCCGCGUGAUCGAGACGCCCUUCGGGGUGUAAAGAUCUGUCAGUGGGGACGAAACUUGACGGUACCCACAGAGGAAGCACCGGCUAACUCCGUGCCAGCAGCCGCGGUAAUACGUAGGGGGCAAGCGUUAUCCGGAAUUACUGGGUGUAAAGGGUGAGUAGGCGGCAUGGUAAGCCAGAUGUGAAAGCCUUGGGCUUAACCCGAGGAUUGCAUUUGGAACUAUCAAGCUAGAGUACAGGAGAGGAAAGCGGAAUUCCUAGUGUAGCGGGGGAAUGCGUAGAUA
rnacentral:rRNA from 1 species